rnacentral:rRNA from 1 species
GUCCACGCCGUAAACGAUGGGUGCUAGGUGUGGGCGGUGUCGACUCCGUCCGUGCCGAAGCUAACGCAUUAAGCACCCCGCCUGGGGAGUACGGCCGCAAGGCUAAAACUCAAAGGAAUUGACGGGGCCCGCACAAGCAGCGGAGCAUGUGGUUUAAUUCGACGCAACGCGAAGAACCUUACCAGGGCUUGACAUGCACUGGAAUUGCGUAGAAAUACGCAAGCCCUUGGGGCCAGUGCACAGGUGGUGCAUGGCUGUCGU